rnacentral:rRNA from 1 species
GUAGUCCACGCUGUAAACGAUGAAGACUAGAUGUUGGUAGGCAUAGACCGAUCAGUAUCGAAGCAAACGCGAUAAGUCUUCCGCCUGGGGAGUACGGUCGCAAGAUUAAAACUCAAAGAAAUUGACGGGGGCCCGCACAAGCGGUGGAGCAUGUGGUUUAAUUCGAUGCAACGCGAAGAACCUUACCUACCCUUGACAUCCAGAGGAUCUUGUAGAGAUACGAGAGUGCCGAAAGGAACUCUGAGACAGGUGCUGCAUGGCUGUCGUCAGCUCGUGUUGUGAGAUGUUGGGUUAAGUCCCGUAACGAGCGCAACCCUUAUCCUUAGUUGCCAACAUGUAAUGGUGGGGACUCUAAGGAGACUGCUGGUGAUGAACCGGA